rnacentral:tRNA from 1 species
UACAGAAUAAGCUAUAUUAUAAGCUACUAGGCUCAUAACUUAGAGAUGAAAUUAUUUCUUUUGUAA